AGAUAUCCAAGAUUAGAUAUUCUUCCCUUUCUUAUCUUCUUUAUCCCUGCCCUUAUUACUGGACACAUAUUCUCUCUCUCGGUCUCUCCAUCUCUCAGAUUUCUUUCUUCCAGUCGAUUCAUGGUCAUAAAAUAUAUAUUCUCAGCAAGAUUUAUCAGAGUUAUAUUUCCUAAACCCAUAUCUCAGAAACAAAUUUCUUUCCUAAACCCAUAUCUCAGAAAAUCUUCAACAAUCCAUUUGAACCCUAGAAGUUUGAUUUUCUCCGACAUAAUCCCUAGAAAACGAAUCUCUAUACUCUCUGCAUGACCUAUUGCUGACUAGUCCAAGAAGAUGAGUUUAUAAAACCCUAGAUUCUUCGGAAGCGCUGAUGCUAUGAGUCUGAUUUUAUAUAAGAUAUUGAGAAGAUUAGUCAAAAGAAAAGAAGUAUGAAGAAUUAGAUUUUGGGCACAACAGUUUCAUGGUGAGCCAUCUAAAUGACAUUGAUAUGAGAUUAGACUGUGAAGUGCCACCCACUUUUAACAGAAGAAAGUGAAUUGGUAGUGGCAUUUGGUUGGGUUCUUCAGUUUACUAAAAGGCCUUUCAACAUUAUUUCAAUUGUUAUAUUACUUUUCAUGCUUACAAAGGAUAAGAACCUGAUUUACCUGUUAUCCGAGAAGCAUCCAACGCAAUUGCAUUAGGGAGCUGAAUUUCGGUGAGCUUUUGGCAAAAAAAAAAGUUCCAUUGGUACCAAAUUCGUUAGAAGAUUGUAGCUUUAUUAGGAUUUGCUAAUUGCUAUUAAGGUUACUACUUGGGAUAAAUGAUUGAUGGGGGAUCAAAUGCUGAGAAACUUGGAGUUGCAAAACAUCCAAACUUUUAUUAAAAUGGUGCUGAUAUAUAUGUUAGCAUCUCCCCUUCCUUGGGACUGCAUCAAACUUGGAUUUGAUCUUGUAUUGGGUGCCUCUAAUGCAGACGUUGGAUUGUGCGGUCACUUAACAAAAGUAACUUACUUAUCCAUCCAUUCUAGUAUGAGAUACUAAGGUGGUUUUUAUUUCCCACUUUUGAAUGUAUGGUAUAGUUGCUGCUCUGGAGAUAUAAAUCACAAUUAAUGGAAGCAUUGAUAAGCAGGAUCUUCGAGCAUUUCUGAAAUGGGAUGAUGUCCAUCUCGAUUUUCCAUCGUCAAGCUGCCCCUCCAACUCAUCCAACUGAUGAGUUGGAGCCUGUAUGAUUCAAUUAUAGUCAGUGUUUAUUAGGUAUCGGUUCAUUGAGGGUUGGGCUAAAUUCUUGACAACUGCAGUGUCUAUCUGAAGCGCAAGAUAGAUAAAUCUAUGGACAGGGAGUUGCAUCGAAGUGUUAAUUGUAGAGCUUGUCAAAGGUAACCACUUGGUUCUAGAUAUUGAACUGGAACGACGACAUGGGGUGAAGCAAUGUUGGAAUGGCAGAAGAAAUUAAACCGGAAAAAGUUCCAUAUGAACAAUUAAAACCAGAAGAGGAAGCAAGCUGAAACGUCAGGAUCCAAGUGGAGCAAGGAUGAGCUUAAACACUUUUAUGAAGCAUAUGGGAAAGACUUCAUUUUUGUUUUUUCUUGUAUCUGCUUUGUUACUUAUGUUAACAAUAGAAAAAAUGUCAAAGUAACAAAUCUGGAUCUUGGGUGAUUGUUGAUUCUUGAAGCAGUAUAAUAUGCAUGUAUACAAAUUGUUCUUCGCUAUUGUAUUUGAUUCUAGUUUUGUAUUCAGCUGAAUCCAAAGCUGAUUCAGCUGAAUCAA